GACGAAUUCCCCAUCGCCGACCGUGGCACGCGACCGCACUUCGUUACUAGUCCACCAGUUGGGGACGGUUCUUUCUUGCUUAUCACGCUUCUCAUGCAUUCAUUUGUGAUUUUAGGUUCAUCUAUAUAAUUUCCAUGCAUUUCAUCGCAUA